rnacentral:rRNA from 1 species
UACAGAGGGGGCGAGCGCUGUUCGGAAUUACUGGGCGUAAAGCGCGCGUAGGCGGCUCUUCAAGUCAGGCGUGAAAGCCCCGGGCUUAACUCGGGAACUGCGCUUGAUACUGUCGAGCUAGAGUGUGGAAGGGGCGAUUGGAAUUCCGUGUGUAGCGGUGAAAUGCGUAGAUAUACGGAGGAGCACCAGGGGCGAAGGCGGAUCGCUGGGCCAACACUGACGCUGAUGCGCGAAAGCUAGGGGAGCAAACGGG